rnacentral:lncRNA from 1 species
GUGAAGUCAAAACAGAAGACACUUAGCUCUCAUGUCUCUCAGGCCAGGCUUUGGAUAAGCGAAUUUUCUCUGCCUGUUUUUCUUCCUCAGCUACAAAUGGAGUUAAAGAAGCCUUGUACAGCAGAAAAAGGACUUGAAAGCCGCUCUUCCACCUUAUAACUGGGAAGAUUGCAGCUAAACACACUGCAUUAGAAGAAAUUCCUGUCACGAAUUGCCUGCUUCCCCCACCGAGCCCUUGUGAAUCAUCCACCAGGGAACAACACGGCACCGCUACCGUGCUGAGCGUAGCAGCUGCCAGGCUGCUCUCCUCGUCUGCUGAAAGACGAUGCCCAAUGUGAGCAUUCAACAGCUCUUGUGGGUCGAUAACAUGAAAUCAUAUUCAAAAUUUUUGACCUAUUUUUCACC